rnacentral:lncRNA from 1 species
CGCGGCCAUCGUGCGGAGCCUGGGCGGGCCGGCGCUCCCGCGCGCAGGCCGACCUUCACCCAGGAGCCCAUACGCAGCGAGUCGCGUUGCAACUGGCUGAUGAACGUCAGAUCUAGCGACCAACUGAGUGCCACUGUGCACCGGUCCUGCUGCUCCAUCACCUGGCAAGGAGGCGAUCAUUCCUUCUCCGAGCUCCGCGAGCUGCAAUGGUAGCUCCUCUGCCCCCUCCUCGCUCGAUCGUGUUGCGUCAUUAAGAGUGGAGCGGUUUGAUUUCAAGAAACUAUAAGGGGUUGCUUGUAAAUAUGCGCAAAAAAAGGUUCGGUAUGCCUUACAAAAGAAGUGCGGGUUAAUUACUUGAAAAGACAGGUACUUUUCUGCAAAAGAGCCAC